AGUGAACGCUGGCGGUAGGCCUAACACAUGCAGGUCGAACGGCAGCACAGUAAGAGCUUGCUCUUACGGGUGGCGAGUGGCGGACGGGUGAGGAAUACAUCGGAAUCUACUUUUUCGUGGGGGAUAACGUAGGGAAACUUACGCUAAUACCGCAUAUGACCUACGGGUGAAAGCAGGGGAGCUUCGGACCUUGCGCGACUGAAUGAGCCGAUGCCGGAUUAGCUAGUUGGCGGGGUAAAGGCCCACCAAGGCAACGAUCCGUAGCUGGUCUGAGAGGAUGAUCAGCCACACUGGAACUGAGACACGGUCCAGACUCCUACGGGGGGCAGCAGUGGGGAAUAUUGGACAAUGGGCGAAAGCCUGAUCCAGCCAUGCCGCGUGGGUGAAGAAGGCCUUCGGGUUGUAAAGCCCUUUUGUUGGGAAAGAAAAGCAGCGGGUUAAUACCCCGCUGUUCUGACGGUACCCAAAGAAUAAGCAACGGCUAACUUCGUG
rnacentral:rRNA from 1 species